UGGGGAAUAUUGCACAAUGGGCGAAAGCCUGAUGCAGCAACGCCGCGUGCGGGAUGACGGCCUUCGGGUUGUAAACCGCUUUCAGCAGGGACGAAGGUUUUCUGACGGUACCUGCAGAAGAAGCACCGGCUAACUACGUGCCAGCAGCCGCGGUGAUACGUAGGGUGCGAGCGUUGUCCGGAAUUAUUGGGCGUAAAGAGCUUGUAGGCGGUCCGUUGCGUCGGAAGUGAAAACUCAGGGCUUAACCCUGAGCCUGCUUUCGAUACGGGCGGACUUGAGGGAUGUAGGGGAGAACGGAAUUCCUGGUGGAGCGGUGGAAUGCGCAGAUAUCAGGAGGAACACCAGUGGCGAAGGCGGUUCUCUGGACAUUUCCUGACGCUGAGAAGCGAAAGCGUGGGGAGCAAACAGGCUUAGAUACCCUGGUAGUCCACGCCGUAAACGGUGGGCACUAGGUGUGGGACCCAUUCCACGGGUUCCGUGCCGUAGCUAACGCAUUAAGUGCCCC
rnacentral:rRNA from 1 species